rnacentral:rRNA from 1 species
UGCCAGCAGCCGCGGUAAUACGAAGGUCCCAAGCGUUAUCCGGAAUUAUUGGGCGUAAAGGGUGCGCAGGCGGUUUGAUAAGUUUAAGGUGAAAGCGUGGAGCUCAACUCCAUACAGCCUUAGAAACUGUCAGACUAGAGUGCAGAAGGGGGUAGUGGAAUUCCAUGUGUAGCGGUAAAAUGCGUAGAUAUAUGGAGGAACACCAGUGGCGAAGGCGACUACCUGGUCUGUAACUGACGCUCAUGCACGAAAGCGUGGGGAGCAAAUAGGAUUAGAUA